rnacentral:rRNA from 3 species
GGUUAAGCGACUAAGCGUACACGGUGGAUGCCCUGGCAGUCAGAGGCGAUGAAGGACGUGCUAAUCUGCGAAAAGCGUCGGUAAGGUGAUAUGAACCGUUAUAACCGGCGAUGUCCGAAUGGGGAAACCCAGUGCAAUUCGUUGCACUAUCGUUAACUGAAUACAUAGGUUAACGAGGCGAACCGGGGGAACUGAAACAUCUAAGUACCCCGAGG